rnacentral:rRNA from 1 species
CUCGUAGGUGGCCAACUAAGUCAGACGUGAAAUCCCUCAGCUUAACUGGGGAACUGCGUCUGAUACUGGAUGGCUUGAGAUUGGGAGAGGGAUGCGGAAUUCCAGGUGUAGCGGUGAAAUGCGUAGAUAUCUGGAGGAACACCGGUGGCGAAGGCGGCAUCCUGGACCAACACUGACACUGAGGAGCGAAAGCCAGGGAGCAAACG